UGAACUCCAUGUUUUAAACCCGUCUGGUGGGGAGCCUAAACAAUUAACUUUUGGAGCAAUUGCAAAUAGAAAGCUUGGUUGUCUCAUCAUAAAAUGUAGCAGGUCACUGGAACCUGUUGGUAUACUCAUGUAUACCACAGUGCCGCCCCAGGCUGUUUGGGGAGUAUCAGAGCAGCAACACAAUAAGAAGGUUGAGGCGACCAUAAAGGAGUAUCAACUUGAAAUAUGAGAAUAAUCUUUAAGCUCAAUCACAAUUCAAGAUUUAGCAGCAUUUUGAACAAGAUGGUGUUUCAACAUUGCUCUAAAAGGUGAUAUUAGUAAUUCUUAAUUUAAUAUU